UGUUAAGUCAGAUGUGAAAUCCCCGGGCUCAACCUGGGAACUGCAUCUGAUACUGGCAAGCUUGAGUCUCGUAGAGGGGGGUAGAAUUCCAGGUGUAGCGGUGAAAUGCGUAGAGAUCUGGAGGAAUACCGGUGGCGAAGGCGGCCCCCUGGACGAAGACUGACGCUCAGGUGCGAAAGCGUGGGGAGCAAACAGGAUUAGAUACCCUGGUAGUCCACGCCGUAAACGAUGUCGACUUGGAGGUUGUGCCCUUGAGGCGUGGCUUCCGGAGCUAACGCGUUAAGUCGACCGCCUGGGGAGUACGGCCGCAAGGUUAAAACUCAAAUGAAUUGACGGGGGCCCGCACAAGCGGUGGAGCAUGUGGUUUAAUUCGAUGCAACGCGAAGAACC
rnacentral:rRNA from 1 species